AAUCAUUAUUCUUUCUCAAAUUUGAGCAAACAAUAUCGCGGCAAAAUUUUCCUCAUUUGUUUUCUUUUAUAGUUUUCCCCAAAUCUUUCACCCUCUUAUUUUCACACGACCUUUAGUUUUAUUUUUAAUUGAACGCCGACCAUUAAUUCUCUCAUUAGAUUCAGUGUUCAAGUCAUCGGAGCUUCAUGUUUGGUCUGAAGGAGUAAUGUCUUAUCCAAUUAAGAAUUAGGGCUUCAAACUUUGAAUGACAAAUUACAGUUCCUCACCCUUGUGAUUGGAUGUGUCGACAUAGUUUCAGCUUACAUCUCUUCUUCUGAAGAAAUUGCAGCACGGUAAAUUAGUUGUCUUUGUAGAAGUUACAGUUCUUUUAUAUCUCUUCGGGAUCAAUGUAUAGUCUGAUCAAGUGAUGUUGCAGUUUGACAUAACCCCUUAUCUAUUAAGCUAGCUUUCCUUUGAUUAGUAUAUUGGUGUGUUGUAGUUUUUAAUGUUAAUAAUAUUUGUGAAUGUAGUAACUCUUACUUGGCUCUUUUUUUCUUCAAAGGUGAUAUUGUUACCUGGACAAAUAACCACAUUCAUACAAUGAAAUGAUUAAAUUUUCUAGUAUACGUACUUGGUGCAUAUUAAUAGAUAUUGUGUGUUUCUAUGACUAGUCACGAUAUUGGUUCAGUUGAUUAUUUCAUGUACAUGCGUAUGUAUAACGUUAAUAAAGAUUCUGUCUUACAUCUGUCUAGUUACAGUGUUGGUUUACUUUGUUUAUUGUUGUACAUCUUGGGAAUUACAAUGUGGAAACUAUAAGGACAGAUAAACCUAAAGCGCUUAUUAGGUAUGCUUUUCGUGAUGCAAUCUUUAGUUGAUGGCACCUUCUGUUCAUGUUUAUCUCCAAUAUUCUGAUGUCUUUACUUAACACAAGUAGAAUUAAGACAAACUAUGAAAUCAGGGUAACAAACAACGCUUUGUCAGCAUUAUUUCAUGUUUCAAGUUAAUGUGGUUACUCUUCUUUACAUACUUGUGAGAGGACUAAUGCAUUCCCCUCUUCUACCUUGGUAAACCAUUCCUUGAUCGGAGUAUCUCUUUUUUAGGUUGUUUGUCGUUGAAGAAGGGUGAUUGUGAUGUCUUCUCCCUAUCCAUUUUUCUCAUUUUCCCCUUUUAUCCGAUUUUGUUCUGUGAUGGUUCUUUUUUUCUUGAACCCAAUAAUGUCAAUAUUUAUUGAAUGAAAAACUUCCUAUAUUUUAUCAGUUUUAAGGAAAUCACUACUAUUUGUGUAGAUAGAGAAGUUCUACUAUUUAUAGAUGAUCUUUGUACUCUAUUAUGUUGUAUAGGAUGUGACUUCAGAACUUCGUUUUGUGCAUUUCUCUUAUUUCUAUUUGGCAUUUUGCAGCAAAAAUUUUGAGGCUAGAAAAGCUUCAUUGCAGAUUACCCUUGGAUAAGGUGUUUAUAUACAUGCUUUUACUGAAUUUGGCCUUUUACUUCAGGACAAACCUACAGUGGGAUUGGAGGGAUUUUUUAUUUGUUUUCUUGCAUUAGUGUAUUGAUGGUAUUAUUUUUUUUAGGAAAGAGUGUUUUGUACUUUGGUAUUGUUUUCUUGAUAGGAAUUUGGAUUAUGCAUAUACUCAAUACUAAACUAAAGUUUGUUUAUUUGUUCUUCAGUAUAUGCAUGUCUGAUAAGUUUGGCUAUUUUUUAUAUUACAAACAGCUUAUAUUC